rnacentral:rRNA from 1 species
CAUAGCCGCGGUAAUACGUAGGGUGCGAGCGUUAAUCGGAAUUACUGGGCGUAAAGCGUGCGCAGGCGGUUGUGUAAGACAGGUGUGAAAUCCCCGGGCUUAACCUGGGAACUGCAUUUGUGACUGUAGAGCUGGAGUGCGGCAGAGGGGGAUGGAAUUCCGCGUGUAGCAGUGAAAUGCGUAGAUAUGCGGAGGAACACCGAUGGCGAAGGCAGCCCCCUGGGCCAAUACUGACGCUCAUGCACGAAAGCGUGGGGAGCAAACAGGAUUAGAGACCCCUGUAGUCCCUGUCUCUUAUACC